rnacentral:rRNA from 1 species
CCCUUAGAUGUUCUGGGCCGCACGCGCGCUACACUGACGCAUUCAACGAGUCUAAAACCUGGUCUGAUAGGGCUGGGUAAUCUUUUGAAUGCGCGUCGUGAUUGGGAUAAAUGAUUGUAAUUCUUCAUUUUCAACGAGGAAUGCCUAGUAAACGCAAGUCAUCAGCUUGCAUUGAUUACGUCCCUGCCCUUUGUACACACCGCCCGUCGCUCCUACCGAUUGAAUGAUCCGAUGAAUAUCAUGGACUGAGAGUGUUAGAGUUUUCGGACUUCUACACUUCUCGGGAAGUGAAGUGAAUCUUAUCAUUUAGAGGAAGGAGAAGUCGUAACA